UACGUAGGGAGCAAGCGUUGUUCGGAUUUACUGGGCGUAAAGGGCGCGUAGGCGGCUCAGUAAGUUACUUGUGAAAUCUCUGAGCUUAACUCAGAACGGCCAAGUAAUACUGCAGUGCUAGAGUGCAGAAAGGGCAAUCGGAAUUCUUGGUGUAGCGGUGAAAUGCGUAGAUAUCAAGAGGAACACCUGAGGCGAAGGCGGGUUGCUUGUCUGACACUGACGCUGAGGCGCGAAAGCCAGGGGAGCAAACGGG
rnacentral:rRNA from 1 species